AUGUGGGAGAUGCGGAUGGAGCUCCUGGCGCAGGUCAGGGCCCCGUGCACCCACAGGGAGACCCGGAUGGAGCUCCUGGUGCAGGUCAGGGCCCCGUGCACCUGCUGCACCCACAGGGAGACCCGGAUGGAGCUCCUGGUGCAGCUCAGGGCCCCGUGCACCUGCUGCGCCCACAGGGAGACCCGGAUGGAGCUCCUGGUGCAGGUCAGGGCCCCGUGCACCCACAGGGAGACCCGGAUGGAGCUCCUGGUGCAGGUCAGGGCCCCAUGCACCUGCUGCACCCACAGGGAGACCCGGAUGGAGCUCCUGGCGCAGCUCAGGGCCCCGUGCGCCCACAGGGAGACCCGGAUGGAGCUCCUGGCGCAGGUCAGGGCCCCGUGCACCCACAGGGAGACCUGGAUGGAGCUCCUGGCGCAGGUCAGGGCCCCAUGCACCCACAGGGAGACCGGAUGGAGCUCCUGGUGCAGCUCAGGGCCCCGUGCACCUGCUGCACCCACAGGGAGACCCGGAUGGAGCUCCUGGCGCAGGUCAGGGCCCCGUGCACCCACAGGAAGACCCGGAUGGAGCUCCUGGCGCAGGUCAGGGCCCCGUGCACCCACAGGGAGACCUGGAUGGAGCUCCUGGCGCAGGUCAGGGCCCCGUGCACCCACAGGGAGACCGGAUGGAGCUCCUGGUGCAGGUCAGGGCCCCAUGCACCUGCUGCACCCACAGGGAGACCUGGAUGGAGCUCCUGGUGCAGGUCAGGGCCCCGUGCACCUGCUGCACCCACAGGGAGACCUGGAUGGAGCUCCUGGUGCAGGUCAGGGCCCCGUGCACCCACAGGGAGACUUGGAUGGAGCUCCUGGCGCAGGUCAGGGCCCCGUGCACCCACAGGGAGACUUGGAUGGAGCUCCUGGCGCAGGUCAGGGCCCCGUGCACCCACAGGGAGACCCAGAUGGAGCUUCUGGUGCAGCUCAGGGCCCCGUGCACCUGCUGCACCCACAGGGAAACCCGGAUGGAGCUCCUGGCUCCCAGAUUUGGCCCUGGCCCAGCCCUGGCUGUUCUGGGCCUUUAGGGAAUGAACCAACAUAUGAGUUCACUCGCUAG
rnacentral:lncRNA from 1 species